rnacentral:snRNA from 1 species
UUCUCUUGCCAGUAGGCUUAGAUCAAGUGUAGUAUCUGUUCUUCUUGUGUUUGACCACCAAGAUUUUUGUGUUGAACCCAUUCUUUGGAACCAGCUGGGAGGUCUCUAGGGCUACGCUUUAAAUCUCCUGGCACGGUGUCGCCUGUCUUGCACUUCUGCAGGCCGACGCGAACGAUC